rnacentral:lncRNA from 1 species
CUCCAGCCCAGGAUUGAAAAGAAGCCCUGUUGUAUCCUAUGAGCCUCCAGACCAGCAGUUGGGCUUUCCCAGGCCAUUCUGGAGUCCCUGGGGAAGAGACAGGCUGCAGCUCAGGUGACCACGGCUGCCUAACAACUAUGGAGAAAGGAGGCAAAAGGGGCCUGCACGGGGCUGGAAGGUCAGCCUUCUGUAGAUUCUGUGGCCUUUGUUGGGAUCAUCAGGGUGGGUGGUCAGAAGCUGCUCGGGGGUAGGGCAAGAGCAAUCUCCAGACAUGGCAGAGGAGGAACCCCUGUCCUGGCCUGAGAUUGGCACCCAAAGGUGCUAGGGUAGCAGCAUCCUUCAUCUCUGCUGCUUUCUCUUGCCUUUCAACUGGCUGCCUCUGAGGCACAGGCCAACCUGGCCACUAGCCUGGGUGGGUGUCACCCACUGCUCCUCUGUCUCCUAGGGCUGGGACUUAGCUCGCUGCUGUGCUGGGAGGGUAGGAGGAACCUCACCAUUUGGUCUGUAACUUUUUCUUACCCUCCUGCUUUCUGGGUAGUGU